rnacentral:rRNA from 1 species
AUCGAACGCUGGCGGCAGGCCUAACACAUGCAAGUCGAGCGGAGCGGCGGACGGGCGAGUAAUGCCUAGGUAUCUGCCUGGUAGUGGGGGAUAACGUCCGGAAACGGGCGCUAAUCCCGCAUACUAUCAGAUGAGCCUAGGUCGGAUUAGCGAGUUGGUGGGGUAAAGGCCUACCAAGGCGACGAUCCGUAACUGGUCUGAGAGGAUGAUCAGUCACACUGGAACUGAGACACGGUCCAGACUCCUACGGGAGGCAGCGGUGGGGAAUAUUGGACAAUGGGCGAAAGCCUGAUCCAGACAUGCCGCGUGUGUGAAGAAGGUCUUCGGAUUGUAAAGCACUUUAAGUUAGGAGACGUUACCAACAGAGUAAGCACCGGCUAACUUCGUGCCAGCCGCCGCGGUAAUUC